GAGCUCGCUUUGGCAGCACAUAGACUAAAACUGGAACCAUACAGAGAUUAGCAUGGCCCCUGCGCAAGGAUGGCAUACAAAUUCAUGAAGCAUUCCAUACUUAA